UACAGAGGUCCCAAGCGUUACUGAGAAUCACUGGGUUUAAAGGGUGCGUAGGUGGCGCGUUAAGUCCGUUGUGAAAUCCCUUGGCUCAACCAAGGAAUGGCUUCGGAUACUGGCGUGCUUGAGGCCGGUAAGGGUCACUGGAACUGACGGUGGAGCGGUGAAAUGCGUAGAUAUCGUCAGGAACGCCAAUGGUGAAGACAGGUGACUGGGCCGGUUCUGACACUGAGGCACGAAAGCGUGGGGAGCGAACGGG
rnacentral:rRNA from 1 species